GAUGAACGCUGGCGGCGUGCCUAAUACAUGCAAGUCGAGCGAACAGAUGAGGAGCUUGCUCCUCUGACGUUAGCGGCGGACGGGUGAGUAACACGUGGAUAACCUACCUAUAAGACUGGGAUAACUUCGGGAAACCGGAGCUAAUACCGGAUAAUAUAUUGAACCGCAUGGUUCAAUAGUGAAAGACGGUUUUGCUGUAACUUAUAGAUGGCUCCGUGUCGCUUUAGCUAGUUGGUAAGGUAACGGCUUACCAAGUCAACGAUGCGUAGCCGACCUGAGAGGGUGAUCGGCCACACUGGAACUGAGACACGCUCCAGACUCCUACGGGAGGCAGCAAUAGGGAAUCUUCCGCAAUGGGCGAAAGCCUGACGGAGCAACGCAGCGUGAGUGAUGAAGGUCUUGGGAUCGUAAAACUCUGUUAUUAGGGAAGAACAAUUGUGUAAGUAACUAUGCACGUCUUGACGGUACCUAAUCAGAAAGCCACGGCUAACUACGUG
rnacentral:rRNA from 1 species